rnacentral:rRNA from 1 species
UACGUAGGGUGCGAGCGUUAAUCGGAAUUACUGGGCGUAAAGCGUCCGCAGGCGGUUUUGUAAGACAGGCGUGAAAUCCCCGGGCUUAACCUGGGAAUGGCGCUUGUGACUGCAAAGCUGGAGUGCGGCAGAGGGGGAUGGAAUUCCGCGUGUAGCAGUGAAAUGCGUAGAUAUGCGGAGGAACACCGAUGGCGAAGGCAAUCCCCUGGGCCUGCACUGACGCUCAUGCACGAAAGCGUGGGGAGCAAACAGG